rnacentral:rRNA from 1 species
CCUACGGGUGGCAGCAGUGAGGAAUAGUGGUCAAUGGACGAGAGUCUGAACCAGCCAAGUAGCGUGAAGGAUGACUGCCCUAUGGGUUGUAAACUUCUUUUAUAUGGGAAUAAAACGUUCCACGUGUGGGAUUUUGUAUGUACCAUAUGAAUAAGGAUCGGCUAACUCCGUGCCAGCAGCCGCGGUAAUACGGAGGAUCCGAGCGUUAUCCGGAUUUAUUGGGUUUAAAGGGAGCGUAGGUGGAUUGUUAAGUCAGUUGUGAAAGUUUGCGGCUCAACCGUAAAAUUGCAGUUGAAACUGGCAGUCUUGAGUACAGUAGAGGUGGGCGGAAUUCGUGGUGUAGCGGUGAAAUGCUUAGAUAUCACGAAGAACUCCGAUUGCGAAGGCAGUUCACUGGACUGCAACUGACACUGAGGCUCGAAAGUGUGGGUAUCAAACAGGAUUAGAUACCCCAGUAGUC